UGUGGGAGCGGGCCUGCUCGCGAUUACGGAGUGUCAGGCAACAUUGAUGUGUCUGACAGACCGCUAUCGCGAGCAGGCUCGCUCCCACA
rnacentral:antisense_RNA from 1 species